UACGUAGGGCGCGAGCGUUGUCCGGAUUUAUUGGGCGUAAAGAGCUCGUAGGCGGCUUGUCGCGUCGAAUGUGAAAACUCGGGGCUCAACUCCGAGCUUGCAUUCGAUACGGGCAGGCUAGAGUUCGGUAGGGGAGACUGGAAUUCCUGGUGUAGCGGUGAAAUGCGCAGAUAUCAGGAGGAACACCGGUGGCGAAGGCGGGCUCUGGGCCGAUACUGACGCUGAGGAGCGAAAGCGUGGGGAGCAAACAGG
rnacentral:rRNA from 1 species